CCUCUCAUCUUGUUAAAAGGAAGAUCAUAAAUCACCACAAUAUUGUAGCAUGCAUCAAUUUGGUUUGGUGUGAGCCUUGAGAUGGUGAACUCUACUUGGUGCUAGUAGUCAGUAGCCUCUUUUGCCUUGUGCAGCUUCAGCGUAUAUAUUAUAACUAAUUGAGUGCCUCCAAAGGCCAAAUACAGGGUUAGGUGAAAUUGUGUGGUGCUUUUUGCUGUGUUUGGUUUAGGUAUCAUGUUCUAAGCAUUGGAGUCUAUUCUAAUGACAGUGCUUGGGCUUGGCUGUUGAGUUGCACAUGAUGCUAUGUAUAUUGCUGAUCCUGUGCCAGCCAUUUUCUCAGCAAAAAAUGUUUCUUUCUGGCAGGUACAGUAGCUCUGUAAAGCAUGGAUGAGGAGGAGAAACAUCUGCAAGCAACACUGGAGAGUGGUAAAGUUGUUACUGAUUUAUAGCAUAUGAGAUGAGGGAAUCCUUGCAAAGCUUAAGCAGAAGCAGAAGCAUAAGCAGUCGCUAUCAUGGGAUACCUGUUACCUAAUGCUUGCUACUCCACAUGGUUCCCUCAGGGAUCAGACUGCUGGUUUAGUGACAGCAGCCCUUACUGUUCAGGUCGCUCUUCUCUC
rnacentral:lncRNA from 1 species